rnacentral:rRNA from 1 species
GGGAUUUAGUGGCGGACGGGUGAGUAACACGUAAGAACCUGCCUCUAGGACGGGGACAACAGUUGGAAACGACUGCUAAACCCGGAUGAGCCGAAAGGUAAAAGAUUAAUCGCCUAGAGAGGGGCUUGCGUCUGAUUAGCUAGUUGGUGAGGUAAGAGCCCACCAAGGCGACGAUCAGUAGCUGGUCUGAGAGGAUGAUCAGCCACACUGGGACUGAGACACGGCCCAGACUCCUACGGGAGGCAGCAGUGGGGAAUUUUCCGCAAUGGGCGAAAGCCUGACGGAGCAAGACCGCGUGGGGGAGGAAGGUUCUUGGAUUGUCAACCCCUUUUCUCAGGGAAGAACACAAUGACGGUACCUGAGGAAAAAGCAUCGGCUAACUCCGUGCCAGCAGCCGCGGUAAUACGGGGGAUGCAAGCGUUAUCCGGAAUGAUUGGGCGUAAAGAGUCCGUAGGUAGUCAUCCAAGUCUGCUGUUAAAGAGCGAGGCUUAACCUCGUAAAGGCAGUGGAAACUGGAAGACUAGAGUGUAGUAGGGGCAGAGGGAAUUCCUGGUGUAGCGGUGAAAUGCGUAGAGAUCAGGAAGAACACCGGUGGCGAAGGCGCUCUGCUGGGCUAUAACUGACACUGAGGGACGAAAGCU